UCUCUCUCAAUCAAACAGCAGCUCCAUCAAAGUCUCAUUGAGGGUUUUGAACGUGUGGCAGAAAACCAAGAUAUAGCACACAUCUGAGACCAAAAUGGCUAAAGCUUAUGUAGAAGCAGGAGUUGGAGAAGUUGGAACUGAAUUUUCAGUUGGCGCAGAAGCCAAAGGUCCGAAUGCCUCAGCUGGUAUUGGAAUUGAUGCGGAUGGAGGAGCAGAAGCAAUGGCUCGAGCUGAACUCGGCAGCGCAUCAGUUCAUGCUGGUCCACUCGGUGUGAAAGUGGGACUCGGAGUCGACACCGGUGCAUCUGUUGGUCCAAAUGGGCUGGAGGUCAAAGUCCUGGGAACUGGACUCACACUUGGUCCGAAUCCCAGUAUUGCUAUUCUGGGUUCAGAAGUGUCAUGUUCAGUCAUGUAGACCUGCAGGUGUGUUUCAUUAGAUGGCACCACUGACAGUUUGGAUCCAACAAGAUGUUAAGCGACUUCUAAUUAACCUAAAUAAGUCUUUAAAUGUCACUUUAAUCUUUAGACUAGUAUCUUAUGAAAUAACUAGUAAAAUAUAAUGCAAUGUCACCAUCACAACGACAAGAUAUUAGCUAUUAAAGGACUCCUAUUUUACCCCUUUUUAAACAUCUUAGAUAAUUCUUUGGUGUCUCCAGAAUGGUUUUGUAAAGUUUCAGCUAAAAUUUCACCAUUUAUUAUACCCUCCUGAAUAUUCACAUCUUAUGCUCAGAUGACAGUGUAGCUGUUUUUGUAGCUGUGUGCAAUGCAACGAUGCAGUUUUCUGCAAAGAUGAGUCACAUACAAAUGCCAUAACAAAGUUUGCGGUACACACACACACACACACACACGUUACACUGUUUUUGCACAUCUACUUGAAGCAUCCUCAUAUAGCCUCUAUGCUGCUGUGGUGAUUCAAUAAUCCGUUAUGAAUUACAUUGAUUUUACUGUCUUUAUAACAAACAUGCACAGUUUUAAAACAACUGUGCAACUCAUUCUUGAGGUGCUGCUGAUCACAGAGAGUUGGAGCAGAUCUUUUAAUCCCAUUCUCUUUGCAAAUUCUGUUUUGCGGACAUGUUUAUAUGCAUUGCUAUGUAGACAUGUAAUACGCUCCUGUUUAGUGGGCAGGGGAAACCGCACGCCUAUGUCACAUUGCAGUGGGCCUCAAAAUCACUGUGAUUUGGAUCAAUUUUAACAUCAAGAAACUAAAAAAAAACAUGUGUUUCUAUCACUAUGAUAUAACUGUGCACACACUAUACCUACACACAGUUCUGUCCAAACAGCUUACAAAAGUUGAUUUUGCAUCAAAAGCACCUUUUAAAAGUGUUUUAAAAUUUGUUGAACAAAAAUAUUCUCUUCGUUAAAGCCUAGUUCACACUACAGGAUUUUAAACAUCGGCAGAUCGCUGUGCUGUUCACACUACAUGACUUGAUUAUGUGUCUUUUCACGAGUUCACACUUAUAAUCGUUUCAGAAUAAAGCAUAUUUGGCAUGCUGUCCGGGGAGAGGGCUCUGAGCUCUGGGAGACACCCAAACUCGAGUUAUUCCCCUUAUCAGGAAACAGAGAGGAAUUGGGAUUCGAGCGAAGUAUCUAGCCCGGCCCCAGAACGCUCUCCCCGGGAUUGUAAUGCUUAAGAGGUGAGGUGUUGGGGUGGUGGAGGGAUGCUAAAGUCGUGAGAUGCUGCGGGUAAGACAGCUUUGGUACAUAUAGGGGUUUAGCAACACAAUCUCACGGCAAUUCGUAACUUUUUGAUUUAGUGGCUAAUUCGUAUAAAUUCAUACGAUCUAAUUUGUACAUUUUCGUACGAUUUGCUCAUCCCCCAAUGACGGUUAGGUUUAGGGGUGGGGUUAGGUGCCACGACUCCUUUUUAAAAUUGUAUAAUUUCAUACGAACGAACUCUUAUUGAAUUAGCCACUAAGCUGACAAAACGUAAAAUACCUACGUUUUCUCGUGAGAUCAGGCUGGGUUUGGUCGAGAUCUGAUUGGAUAAUAGAAUAAUUGUCAAUGACGUAUUUGAUACUGAAACUUCUGCGCGUGCUACUCCCCAAUUUUGUUUUCAAAACAUCACUUAAUCGCUGUGGUGUUCACACUACGCGACACUGCGUAAAUGAUCCACAAGAGAGGGUGACACACUACAAGAUCUGACAACAACUAGUUCCCCAACAGCUCAGUCCAGCUACCAAACCACAGCCAAUGAAGGUAGAAAUGCUCAGUUCUUUACUGUUUUGUAAUUUAAAAAAUAACAAUGUUAGAAAGAAAUACACAGAUAUUAAGGAAACGUCAGGGUGUAUAGAUAUGUUAGUUCUAUUUCAAAGAGUUAUUAAAUUACAAAAAUUAAAAACUCUCUGUGUAUCGAUCCACUCGAGCCUUGCAGAUGAGCGAUUGAUCCGCUGAUGCAUCAGCUGAUUGACCAUGUUUUUAAAUGCUUCCUUGAAAUCUUGAAAUGCUGUCAGUGAUGUCAUCAGCACACAAGCAGCCAAUAGUGUUCAGCUUUUCUGAAGACUCCUCCCUCAACAUGUCAUUGGCUGUGGUUUGGUAGCUGGACUGAGCUGUUGGGGAACUAGUUGUUGUCAGAUCUUGUAAUGUGUGACCCCCCUCUUGUGGAUCAUUUACGUAGUGUCGCGUAGUGUGAACACCACAGCGAUUAAAAUACACAAAAUCAAGUCAUGUAGUGCGAAAUUUACAGCGAUCUGCCGAUGUUUAAAAUCCUGUAGUGUGAACUAGGCUUUAACAGCACUUGGGAAAUUUCAGAGGAGGGCAAAUCUUUUUGACUUCAACUGAUUAUAGCUGAUGUUAGACAGUUUCUUCUGUUGGACACUUGUGUAAUGUAAGCAUGUACAGUGAUGGUGAACUUAAAGCUCGAUACAAAAUAAAACUGAAUCAGAA